GGUGCUGGCUAGUAAAUUUUUAGCAUUUAGUAGCCAGUGAAGACUAAAUUUUCCAUGCCCAUAUUGACCCUUGAUCAAAAAACUCUAGAUAAUAUUACGCGCCAAUUUGACCUCAAGUUCACAGGUCAAAAGGCGAGUCUGAGUUACAGUUAGCGUGUUUACUUUGAGACGAUGAAGUGCCUUAUUCACCUCGUAGACAAAGAUUGUGGAAAGCUGAUUAAAUUUACAGAUACCAGUUGGAAUAAGGGAAUAAAGAUGAUGCACUACCGGUUUAUGGCUAUCAUUCCAAGUGUUAUUCGAUAUUCACAGACAGAACAAAGAUUGAACGAGCUACUAAAAGAGUUGCAUUACAGUCUGGUGAGAAGCAAACGAGUGAUGAGAGUCAAUCCAUGUCUAGACAAGGUUUUCGAUCAGCGCGACUAAAUCAUCAACCACCCAAGCUGUCCACCUGCGAUAAUAUUUGAAAACAGGAGAGCAAUAUUUACAAAAGAAUAUUAACAAAAUCAUAAUUGAGGACAUGUCUUGCCUCCUGUGUGCAUUAUCUGCAAAAAAGUACCUUUGUUGUACGGGUGUCAGAAUAAGACUGUCUCUGAUAAGCUGGUUUUAGCAGAAACUAAAGAUGGGGGUCUUCAGAGGUGUCUGCAUAUGAGACAACCUUUGAUAUAUUUUGUGAAGAUGUGAUUAGAAAAAGAAUUAUUUUCAACAAAGAAAUUCUGCGAAUGGCCAAGUUAUAAGAUAUGUUUAUUAAGAUGGCAAAGGACAUUGAACAAGUCGACAUUUCAAACUACCGGUAAUAAUUUGUUAUUUCUGUACAAUGGUUUUGUCCUUUGGGGGUGCGGGCGAUUUAGCCAAUUGGUCUGUCAUUAAUGGGCUCAACGGUUUGAAUCCUCUUCUCAAUGACAAGGUGUGGGAGUAUGCAGGGGUAUUCCCGUUUGGCCUACUGUACUACUAAUAUGUAGGCGAAUUAUCUGUCAUUGCAAGUGGAUUGGUGCAAAAUGACCAGAUAGCAGUGUCAACGUGCAAUAAAACAACAUUCAGUGGAUAUGAUUUAUGUGAAUUAAUUUUUGAAAUGUUGUUUUUAAUUACAAUACACAGGCAUGAUUUAUAUCUUUAAAAAAUAACCAAACAAUAUAUCUAAAGAUAAAUACUUUUCCAUUUGUUGAUUUUAGUACUUUGUUUUAUAUGUUUUUAUAUUUUACAUUCUCACUAUUUCAGCAUUAAUUAUUGCACAACUGUUACAGCAAGAUUUAAAUAAAUUAUUGAUAUAACAGUUAUUAAAAAUUAAAAAAAGGGUUUUCUGUAUUUUAAAAAAAAUAUUGAUAUUGAAAUGUAAUUGUAAAUUGCAAUACACAGGCCUAAUUUAUAUCUAUUUAAACCUUUAAUACUAGUCACUAAAUAAAAGAUUAAUGUUUUAAAUUUGUUUGGUGAUAGGGUGGAUUGCCAAGGUGAAAUUUGGUCUUUGUUCAAUAUUUAUAGGACAUUUAUGAUACGAGUUAUCUCCCCUUAUACCUUUUUGCCUGGGACCCCUAUUUGAAAUAUCACAUUUAUGCAUUGUUUUUUGGGUUGAAAUCAAAUAUGUCUAUGCAAUUAUCAAAUUUAUGUAUGAUUUCUGAUAAUAAAUUAAAUUCAAUAUCAAUACAAUGACGCUGUAUUUUCAUAAAUAGACAAAAACAUGCUACGAUGUGCAACAUUACUGCUUUGUGGGCGUUUAUUAUUGGUCCUGUGCAAAUACAAAUUGAGAUAUUUCCAUAAUUUUUUUUUUCAAAUGUUG